AAACAAUCUUUCAUUAGGAUGUCAAAGAAAAUAAUUGCUGUGUAUUCUUUCUGCCUUUGUGGUGCCCAGAUGGAAUUGAGAUAUACAUCU
ensembl:snoRNA